UACGUAGGCAGCAAGCGUUGUUCGGAGUUACUGGGCGUAAAGAGUGCGUAGGUGGUUCUUUAAGUUCGGUGUGAAAUCUCCCGGCUUAACUGGGAGGGUGCGCCGGAAACUGGAGAGCUCGAGUGUGGGAGAGGAAAGCGGAAUUCCUGGUGUAGCGGUGAAAUGCGUAGAUAUCAGGAGGAACACCGGCGGUGUAGACGGCUUUCUGGACCACUACUGACACUGAAGCACGAAAGCGUGGGGAGCAAACAGG
rnacentral:rRNA from 2 species